AGUUGAGAGGCCCAGGAAGACGAGGCGGAAGUGAGGUCACCUGGAGCCCUGAAUGCUAGAUUUCGAUUGGUCCGCAAAGGAAAGGUCAUUGACUCCGAUAGAGCCCAUUUUUGUUUGGGGCAAAACAAAGCGAUUGGCGCCACCUACUCUGAACUGUGAUUGUAGGAUUAGGUGAAGAUUCUGACAACUUCUGUUUUUGUGUAUCAGCCUUCUCUGCGGAGUUUUUUGGCUUUUAUUAGUUCAUUGAGAUUUCGGAAGACUAGCAUCAAGAAGUGUUUCUGACGAUUACAAAGUAAGAAAAGCUACAGCAACUCUGAAUCCAAGCAGCAAGCAAAAAGGCAAUUGAGUGCUGUGUUGUCAAAGUUCUACUUUCCCUAGAGUUUUGUACAGAGGAAGAGUUUUGGCUACAUGAAUCAUGUCUAGCGAGGAGGCCUUGAAGACUCUAAGAGGGUGAGAUAAAGUAUCCCAAACAUUUCCAAAGCCAUACUGGAACUGCACACUGAUUAAUCUGCAGAGGGGCCAGCCUAAAGCUCCAACUCUUCAGAGCUAAUCAAGUGGAAACACAUUGGGGAAAUCCAGGUCAACUAUAAUUCCCAUCAUGACUAAGCAGCAUAAAGACUCUGACUACAGUGACCUAGAACUGACCUCAGGGAGAAAUCAGUCAAAACAGAAUCAUUCAUUUCCAGGAUUCUUGGUCACUCAAGAUCUUUCACAAGACUGCAGUCAAGUCCAGGGCUCCAGCCUCAUCUGAAGACUUGACUAAGUAGAAUUUGCUUCUAAGUUCGCUCACAUAAUUGUUGGCAAGAUUUACUUCCUUGUGGACUGUCGGAGGGAGGGUCUGGUUCCCUGCUGGCCAAUGGCAAUAGUCCUUCCUCAAGUCCUUGUCAUCGGGGUUCUCAUAAGGCAGUUCAUAAUAUGAACCGUGUGUACGUGUGUGUGUGUGUGUGUGUGUGUGUGUGUGUGUGUAUGAGAGAGAGAGAUGUGGGACAGGUAGGGAGGAACAAAAGAGGAUGAGCAAGAUGGAAAUCACAGUCUUUUUGAAAUGUAGUCUUUAAUUUUUCCCAUCUUUGUGUAUUUUAUUUAUUUAUUUGCCAUAUAAUGUAUUGUUUCAGGGGUACAGUGUAGUGUGCUCUUGAAAGCUACAUCCCAGCCCGUCUUUUGUAUUUUCUUUGUUGGAAGCAAAUCAUUAGGUCAAGGCUCUCCUGGGAUGACACAGAGAAUGAAUACCAGGAGGAAGGGAUCUCUGGUGGCCGUCUUAUAGAGGGUGCCUAUCUUUUUACUAUUGUUAUCACUUUUUAAAAAAUGUUUGAACAAGGUCACUAUUGUUAGAAAAUUUAUCAUUUCUUUUUGUCCUUGAACUCAAAAUUCCAUUCUACGAAUUUCUCCUGAAUUUUGUUUUAAUCUAGUAUAUGUU